rnacentral:rRNA from 1 species
UACGUAGGGGGCUAGCGUUGUCCGGAAUCAUUGGGCGUAAAGCGCGUGUAGGCGGCCCGGUAAGUCCGCUGUGAAAGCUCGGAGCUCAACUCCGAGUCGGCCGUGCGAACUGGGCUCACUGGAGCAUAGUAGAGGCAGGUGGAAUUCCGGGUGUAGCGGUGGAAUGCGUAGAGAUCCGGAAGAACACCGGUGGCGAAGGCGGCCUGCUGGGCUAUGGCUGACACUGAGGCGCGACAGCGUGGGGAGCAAACAGG